AACCACCGAACCAUUGAGCGUUAUAGAUGACAAUUCAGAGGGUUCACGGCUCUCUAACUAUGGUAUACAGAAGCGAAUAGUCUAAUAUUGCGUCAUGGUGUCCUUUUCGAGCUCUGUGAUCAAUAAGUCAGGGAAGAAGUUUGCGCCCAAGCCCCCCGCCCGUCGUAUUGGUGCUAUUUCAGCCGGUACCCUGUCUGCUAGAGCCAGUGUAGAGAGACAGACAACCUCAAAAACUCCUCAAUCUACUCAAUCCGACAUAUCGCCUGAAAGCUCUGCUCCAGUUCCGACUGCUGACCCCGCCAAAAGUACCCCGCAGCGCGCCGAAGAGUCAUCUCAAUCACCAUUACCACCAUCAACACCACCACCGCUACGAAAGUCACCAACACGCACGCAAUCGCAACUACCGCCCCGGCCAUCCAUCAGUCAAUCCAAAACCAAAUCUACAGCCAUCCCAAUACCUACUCCAAGACGGAGGCCAUCGAUUCCUUCUCCUCAAGGGUCUGCAUCUCCCCACACCGUCACCCCCGUUUUAGCGUCCACACCGAACACGCUCCCGUUAGAAACAACUUCACUUGAACCAGCAAAACCACAGCAUGAUAAACACAAAACCCCUCAAACACCUCAAAAUGUUGCAUCGAGCCCCAAACGGCAACGCAUCGAGCAGCCUGUUGACAGCCAACCAGCAAAACGCACCAAGACCGUGCAGCCUAUUACAAAAUUUACAUCUACCUUGCAAGGAGAAAACCCACAUCUGAGGUCUAGCUCUCAGGGGCCACAUUCUCAACCUGAAGUGACACCCACAACAAAGACUCUUGCUAGGAGAGUCGCCAAACCGCCCGCGCAUUGGAAGCAAUCAGCUGAACAGAUAGCAGAGAAUGCCAUCGCCGCUGCAGCAGAAACAAGACCCCGCUCUCGAAGGAGACGGCAGCCAACACCGGAGAAUGCAGAAUCCAUAGAGAUUGCUCCCACUGUCGUGAAAAUGUCAGAUCUCUGCCGAGAUCUCCGUACCGGGAAGAAAUCAAAGAGAGAGAUGGAACUGCAAAGCAUGGAUCUAACGGAACUUGCAAAGAAAAAAAAGGAGCGCGAGGAGCGGAUCAGAAAUGGAAAUAACCCACCGAAAGCUGGCUCAACUGAACGACACACGAGCGGAGAUGAACCCGGUCGAGACGAAGCAGGAGAUCUUGGCGGUCCGAAGAUGAGGAUUGUAAAUGGGGAGAUCAUCAUCGACGCUUCCUCUCUCCAAAUAGACCGCCAUGCAAACGCGGCCAGAAACGAAGGUGACUUGGAAGAGGUCGAAGAAAACCGGCUGACAAAACGCAUAAACGCGGCCUCUUUCGGCAAACGCACCAAAGUCGAGUCUUGGGACAAAGACAUGACCGACCUUUUCUACCGCGGUCUGCGCAUGUUCGGCACGGAUUUCAUGAUGAUUAGCAAGAUGUUCCCUGGCCGUUCACGACGACAGAUUAAGCUGAAAUUCUCAAACGAGGAGCGUCGAUAUCCGCAACGAAUCAAAGAAACCCUCCUCGGACCUCGUGAAGCUAUCGAUUUGGCCACGUACUCGGAGAUGACGAAUACGACAUAUGAUGACCCGCGUGUCAUUGAGCAGGAACUGUAUGAAGAGAAGAAAAGGAUCGAAGCGGAACAUGCGAAAGAGAAGGAGGCGAAGGAGGAACUUUUGCGCAAUCCGGGUG
rnacentral:sRNA from 1 species